rnacentral:rRNA from 1 species
AUUGAACGCUGGCGGCAGGCUUAACACAUGCAAGUCGAGCGAGCGGCGGACGGGUGAGUAAUGUAUGGGAAACUGCCUGAUGGAGGGGGAUAACUACUGGAAACGGUAGCUAAUACCGCAUACUAUCAGAUGUGCCCAGAUGGGAUUAGCUAGUAGGUGGGGUAAUGGCUCACCUAGGCGACGAUCUCUAGCUGGUCUGAGAGGAUGACCAUCCACACUGGAACUGAGACACGGUCCAGACUCCUACGGGAGGCAGCAGUGGGGAAUAUUGCACAAUGGGCGCAAGCCUGAUGCAGCCAUGCCGCGUGUAUGAAGAAGGCCUUCGGGUUGUAAAGUACUUUCAGCGGGGAGGCGUUACCCGCAGAAGAAGCACCGGCUAACUCCGUGCCAGCAGCCGCGGUAAUUC